UACGUAGGGUGCAAGCGUUAAUCGGAAUUACUGGGCGUAAAGCGUGCGCAGGCGGUUGUGCAAGACCGAUGUGAAAUCCCCGGGCUUAACCUGGGAAUGGCAUUGGUGACUGUACGGCUAGAGUGUGUCAGAGGGGGGUAGAAUUCCACGUGUAGCAGUGAAAUGCGUAGAGAUGUGGAGGAAUACCGAUGGCGAAGGCAGCCCCCUGGGAUAGCACUGACGCUCAUGCACGAAAGCGUGGGGAGCAAACAGG
rnacentral:rRNA from 1 species